rnacentral:rRNA from 1 species
AUGGCGAAUGAAGAGAGAAAAGCUCAAUCUUAAAAUCUGUAGGCUUUUUUUGUCUACCGAAUUGUAGUUUUAAAAUUUAUAUUUUAGAGGCUUUCUAAAUAGAAAAAGUGGAAAACACGAAUUUCCUAUCAUCGAGGGUGAGAAUCCCGUUAAUAUCUGUUUAGAUUGUUUCAUUAUUAAAAUGUAUUUUUACGAGUCGAGUUGUUUGGGAAUGCAGCUCUAAUAAGGUGAUAGAUUUCAUCUAAAGCUAAAUAUUGCAAGAAGACCGAUAGCACAAAAGUACUGUGAAGGAAAGGUGAAAAGAACUUUGAAAAGAGAGUUAAAAGUACUUGAAAUUGUUAAAAGGGAAGCGAAUGAAAUUGGUAAAAUUUUAUGUAUCAUUUGAAUUCAAUAAGUAAGAGAUUACUUGUGUAUAUUCUUUUGAUAUGUAUCAUUGGGUCGUUGGAGAAAAGUAAAAGUUUCUUGGAAAGGUGAUGAUUUAUUUGGGAAACCAAGUAAUAUUGUGUUAUAUUCCAGGAGUUUCUUCUUUAAUCUAGUGAAAGGAAAAAAAGGAUCAGGUUCUUUUUAUUAAGAGCCGUAGUCUAUUAUUUUGAAAUAGGAGGAUUAGUGGUUUAGAUCUAAUUUUUUAGUCUAGGUUGUUAAUUUUUUUAUUUUGGUUUAAAGA